CCUACGGGAGGCAGCAGUGGGGAAUAUUGCACAAUGGGCGCAAGCCUGAUGCAGCCAUGCCGCGUGUGUGAAGAAGGCCUUCGGGUUGUAAAGCACUUUCAGCGGGGAGGAAGGCGGUGAGGUUAAUAACCUCAUCGAUUGACGUUACCCGCAGAAGAAGCACUGGCUAACUCCGUGCCAGCAGCCGCGGUAAUACGGAGGGUGCAAGCGCUAAUCGGAAUUACUGGGCGUAAAGCGCACGCAGGCGGUCUGUCAAGUCGGAUGUGAAAUCCCCGGGCUCAACCUGGGAACUGCAUUCGAAACUGGCAGGCUAGAGUCUUGUAGAGGGGGGUAGAAUUCCAGGUGUAGCGGUGAAAUGCGUAGAGAUCUGGAGGAAUACCGGUGGCGAAGGCGGCCCCCUGGACAAAGACUGACGCUCAGGUGCGAAAGCGUGGGGAGCAAACAGGAUUAGAUACCCCGGUAGUC
rnacentral:rRNA from 1 species